rnacentral:rRNA from 1 species
UCCUACGGGAGGCAGCAGUGAGGAAUAUUGGUCAAUGGGCGAGAGCCUGAACCAGCCAAGUCGCGUGAAGGAAGACUGUCCUAAGGAUUGUAAACUCCUUUUAUACGGGAAUAACGGGCGAUACGUGUAUUGCUAUGAAUGUACCGUAAGAAUAAGCAUCGGCUAACUCCGUGCCAGCAGCCGCGGUAAU